rnacentral:rRNA from 1 species
CGCGAAGAACCUUACCUACUCUUGACAUCCAGAGAACUUUCCAGAGAUGGAUUGGUGCCUUCGGGAACUCUGAGACAGGUGCUGCAUGGCUGUCGUCAGCUCGUGUUGUGAAAUGUUGGGUUAAGUCCCGCAACGAGCGCAACCCUUAUCCUUUGUUGCCAGCGGUCCGGCCGGGAACUCAAAGGAGACUGCCAGUGAUAAACUGGAGGAAGGUGGGGAUGACGUCAAGUCAUCAUGGCCCUUACGACCAGGGCUACACACGUGCUACAAUGGCGCAUACAAAGAGAAGCGACCUCGCGAGAGCAAGCGGACCUCAUGAAGUGCGUCGUAGUCCGGAUUGGAGUCUGCAACUCGACUCCAUGAAGUCGGAAUCGCUAGUAAUCGUAGAUCAGAAUGCUACGGUGAAUACGUUCCCGGGCCUUGUACACACCG